UGGAUAAAGAUGCCAACAACUGCCUAUUACCCGUCAGCAUAAGUCAGCAAUAGCAUAUUAUGAUCUCCAUUCCAUGGCUUUCAGGGAAGACUCGGCAUCUGGAGGUGACUCAACAGCUGAGGGCUGAAAUGGGGCAGAGACAUUUUUAGUCACAUGUCUGAAAGCUGAGCCUGACUCUCUGCUGGGAUCUCCAUCUCAGAACAGAGAGCCUAUCUGUGGUGUCUGGGGGAGACCCAGGCUCCCUGGCAGUAAUCAGAUUUCUCACAUGGUGGCUCAAGAUUCCAAAAGAGAUCAAACAUUAUAAUAUGGGCUGGCAACAUGGCUCAGUGGAUAAGAGCACCUGUCCUCAAACCUGACUCCUGACUUGGAUCCCAGGGAUUCACACAGUGGAAGAAGAGAACUGACACCCACAGGUUUUCCUCCAACCUCCAGAGCCAGAGUUCAGAUCCCACCACUACAUAACAGAUGAUAACCAUCCAGUUGCAGAGGAUCCAAUGCCCUCUUCUGCCUUUAUGGGCACCAGCACGAAUGUGGUAUACAGGCAUAUGUGCAGUCAAAACACCUUUACACAUAAAUUUUAAUUAAAAUUUUACAGUUUUUUAAAAGAAGUGUCUGCUCAAUUGACUAGCCAGUUUGGAUGAUCUUGGAGAGCUUGGAAUAUUUGUCUUUCUUACUUGAAUCUGGGUCAGAUGUUCAGUUGGCAAAAAUGUCCUCUCAUUCUGUGAGCUGCUGCUUAUUGUCUCUUUUGCUGUGCAGAAGGUCUUUUAAUUUUGAAACUACAUUUAUUUGUUUAUUAAUGUAUGUGGAAGAAAGGAUUGUGCAUGUGCCAUCAAUGCAAUAGGAAUCAGCAUUGAUUAUAUUCGUUGUACUGACCCUAUUAGAAAAGGUGAAUCUAAAAAAAAAAAAAAAAUGGAGUGGAGGAUUUUAUAAACUGAAAAAUUUCCCUUUUGUCUUCU